rnacentral:rRNA from 1 species
AUUGAACGCUGGCGGCAGGCCUAACACAUGCAAGUCGAGCGGAUGAAGGGAGCUUGCUCCUGGAUUCAGCGUCGGACGGGUGAGUAAUGCCUAUGAAUCUGCCUGGUAGUGGGGGAUAACGUCCGGAAACGGGCGCUAAUACCGCAUACUUCCUGAGGGAGAAAGUGGGGGAUCUUCGGACCUCACGCUAUCAGAUGAGCCUAGGUCGGAUUAGCUAGUUGGUGGGGUGAGGGCCUACCAAGCCGACGAUCCGUAACUGGUCUGAGAGGAUGAUCAGUCACACUGGAAGUGGGACAGGGUCCAGAGUCCUAAGGGAGGCAGCAGUGGGGAAUAUUGGACAGUAGGCGAGAGCAUGAUCCAGCCAGGCGGAGUGUGUGAAGAAGGUGUUCGGAGUGUAAAGAACUUUAAGUUGGGGGGAAGCGCAGUAAGUUAAUACCUAGCUGUAUUGACGUUAACAAGAGAAUAAGCACCGGCUAACUUCGUG